GGAUGGGAUGGAGGGUGUCAUGGAGGUGUCCCCAGCAAAUCCCAAUUCACUCACCAUGCACUCAGCCUCAUGCAGUAUAGAUCAUAGGAAAGGGAGUACACAUCAUAGAAAGUCACCUUCAUGUUCAGGCAGCUGAUGAAGUCCUGUGGGCUCAGCUUGUUCAGGUCAAAGGUUAUGCGGGCCACAUCCAUCUUCUUGGCAAGCUUAUGGGAGAGAGACAGUGGGUGCCUCAUUCUCUGCAUCGAGACAAGCAGAUGGUUAGCACCCCUUGAAGACUUCUCCCAGGGUCCCAGUUUUCUCCCCGGACAGGUGGGACCUCACCUGUUCUGAUGGGGGCUUCCAUUUCUGCCCCUUCUGGAGGACCAGGAACACCGUAUUGCCUGCCAGAGCUUGGAAGGAAGGACUCUUCUGUCUCUACAGUUGUGCCAUCUUCCUCCAGCACCAGGAAGAAGGGCUUGUCUGCCAGUAUCAGUGUCCUGGACCUGGGGAAUAAGAUCCUGAAGAUCUUCGUGGACAAUCUCUUUGCUAUCAUCCUGCUGAAGCAGGCCACAGCCGUGCGCUGCUUGGACAUGAGUGCCUCCCGUAAGAAGCUGGCCGUGGUAGAUGAAAACGACACUUGCCUGGUGUAUGACAUCGACACCAAGGAGCUGCUUUUUCAGGAACUAAAUGCCAACAGUGUGGCCUGGAACACCCGGUGUGAGGACAUGCUCUGCUUCUCGGGAGGAGGCUACCUCAACAUCAAAGCCAGCACCUUCCCUGUGCACCAGCAGAAGCUGCAGGGCUUUAUGGUCGGCUACAAUGGUUCCAAGAUCUUCUGCCUCCACGUCUUCAUUUCUGCUGUAGAGGUGCUACAGGUAACUGGGAGUGCCUGUCCACUCUCAGUGCUGGCAAGGCUGACAAGACCAGGGAAGCCAGGCCCCUUGCUGGUGCUUUGGGGAGAGUAG
rnacentral:lncRNA from 1 species